rnacentral:rRNA from 1 species
UACGAAGGGGGCUAGCGUUGCUCGGAAUCACUGGGCGUAAAGCGCACGUAGGCGGAUCUUUAAGUCAGGGGUGAAAUCCCGGAGCUCAACUCCGGAACUGCCUUUGAUACUGAGGAUCUCGAGUCCGGGAGAGGUGAGUGGAACUCCGAGUGUAGAGGUGAAAUUCGUAGAUAUUCGGAAGAACACCAGUGGCGAAGGCGGCUCACUGGCCCGGUACUGACGCUGAGGUGCGAAAGCGUGGGGAGCAAACAGGAGUAGAAACCCCAGUAGUCC